AUUAAUAAGCGGAGGAAAAGAAACCAACCGGGAUUCCCGCAGUAACGGCGAGUGAAGUGGGAUGAGCCCAGCACCGAAUCGCACGCCCUCGCGGCGUCGCGAACUGUGGUGUUUAGGACGAGCGCCAGCGCGUCGUUCCGGCGUCCGAGUCCUCCUGAUCGGGGCCAGCCAUAGCGGGUGUCAGCCCUCUACGGCGACGGAACGGCGCGUCCGCCACGUCCUCGGAGUCGGGUUGUUUGAGAGUGCAGCCCAAAGUCGGUGGUAAACUCCAUCCAAGGCUAAAUACGGACGCGAGUCCGAUAGCGAACAAGUACCGUGAGGGAAAGUU
rnacentral:rRNA from 1 species